rnacentral:tRNA from 1 species
UCCGGGGUGGUGCAGCGGUAGCACGCCACGCUCUGAACGUGGAAACGCUGGUUCGAUCCCAGCCCCCGGAA